AGAGUUUGAUCCUGGCUCAGAACGAACGCUGGCGGCAUGCCUAACACAUGCAAGUCGAACGCUAUUUAUAGAGUGGCGCACGGGUGAGUAACGCGUGGGAACCUGCCUUUUUCUGCGGGAUAACGGUUGGAAACGACCGCUAAUACCGCAUACGCCCUUCGGGGGAAAGGUCCGCCGGAGAAAGAGGGGCCCGCGUCUGAUUAGCUAGUUGGUAGGGUAACGGCCUACCAAGGCGACGAUCAGUAGCUGGUCUGAGAGGAUGAUCAGCCACACUGGGACUGAGACACGGCCCAGACUCCUACGGGAGGCAGCAGUGGGGAAUAUUGGACAAUGGGGGCAACCCUGAUCCAGCAAUGCCGCGUGUGUGAUGAAGGCCUUAGGGUUGUAAAGCACUUUCACUGGUGAAGAUGAUGACGGUAACCAGAGAAGAAGCCCCGGCUAACUUCGUGCCAGCAGCCGCGGUAAUUC
rnacentral:rRNA from 1 species